rnacentral:rRNA from 1 species
GAUGAACGCUGGCGGCGUGCCUAAUACAUGCAAGUCGAGCGAACGGACGAGAAGCUUGCUUCUCUGACGUUAGCGGCGGACGGGUGAGUAACACGUGGAUAACCUACCUAUAAGACUGGGAUAGCUUCGGGAAACCGGAGCUAAUACCGGAUAAUAUUUUGAACCGCAUGGUUCAAAAGUGAAAGACGGUCUUGCUGUCACUUAUAGAUGGAUCCGCGCUGCAUUAGCUAGUUGGUAAGGUAACGGCUUACCAAGGCAACGAUGCAUAGCCGACCUGAGAGGGUGAUCGGCCACACUGGAACUGAGACACGGUCCAGACUCCUACGGGAGGCAGCAGUAGGGAAUCUUCCGCAAUGGGCGAAAGCCUGACGGAGCAACGCCGCGUGAGUGAUGAAGGUCUUCGGAUCGUAAAACUCUGUUAUUAGGGAAGAACAUAUGUGUAAGUAACUGUGCACAUCUUGACGGUACCUAAUCAGAAAGCCACGGCUAACUACGUG